UACGGGGGGAGCAAGCGUUGUCCGGAUUCAUUGGGCGUAAAGAGCUCGUAGGCGGCCACUCAAGUCGAAUGUGAAACCUCGAGGCUUAACCUCGAGCCUGCAUUCGAUACUGGGCGGCUAGAGUCUGGUAGGGGGAUCUGGAAUUCCUGGUGUAGCGGUGGAAUGCGCAGAUAUCGAGAGGAACACCUGCGGCGAAGGCGGGUUGCUGGGCCGACACUGACGCUGAUGCGCGAAAGCCAGGGGAGCGAACGGG
rnacentral:rRNA from 1 species